rnacentral:snoRNA from 1 species
GCCCAGGCCGGCCCCAAACACUGUCUUGUGACUGCACAGUGUUGGAAACGUCUCACAGAGCUCACUCUGUGGUUUUGCUUUGCUCAUAGGUCUUUUUCUUAGGCCUGUGAGAAGGUGCUACAAGACAGCA